AGUGAACGCUGGCGGUAGGCCUAACACAUGCAAGUCGAACGGCAGCACAGGAGAGCUUGCUCUCUGGGUGGCGAGUGGCGGACGGGUGAGGAAUACAUCGGAAUCUACCUUUUCGUGGGGGAUAACGUAGGGAAACUUACGCUAAUACCGCAUACGACCUCCGGGUGAAAGCAGGGGACCUUCGGGCCUUCCGCGGAGAGAUGAGCCGAUGUCGGAUUAGCUAGUUGGCGGGGUAAAGGCCCACCAAGGCGCCGAUCCGUAGCUGGUCUGAGAGGAUGAUCAGCAACACUGGAACUGAGACACGGUCCAGACCCCUACGGGAGGCAGCAGUGGGGAAUAUUGGACAAUGGGCGCAAGCCUGAUCCAGCCAUACCGCGUGGGUGAAGAAGGCCUUCGGGUUGUAAAGCCCUUUUGUUGGGAAAGAAAAGCAGCCAGUUAAUCCCUGGUUGUUCUGACAGUACCCAAAGAAUAAGCACCGGCUAACUUCGUGCCAGCAGCCGCCGUAA
rnacentral:rRNA from 1 species